AUUGAUUUUUACCGAUAUCGAUUCGUUUGCUUUUGUGAAGUUUAAAUGUGUAUUGAUGCCAUAUUGUAAAUUGGUGCGGUCAAAGUCGGAACAUACUAAAACCAGUUCUUGGACUUAAGAGAAAAGAUCUUACUUAGAUCCCCAAAAAUACGUUCAGCAUUGAUUAUAUUCAAAUUUUGCUUUUGGCAUUAAUAAAUUGUUUAAAAUAAAGAAUUGUGUACUUACUUAUCUUGUCAUAUUGAGGUGUAUUGUACUAUAAGAACAUACCAGUUUCAACAAUAUUGUUUAUUUAAAUUCUUAAGUCUAAGAAUUGGUUGAUGAAUACGUGCCUUGAUAUAUUAUAUAAAUCUUGUGUGGAGACUUAAAGAGUGUGUGACCGAAGUAAGCUCAAAAUGAAGUUGACAUUCAAAUUUAUGGCGCAUUUGAAUAUUAAAUGGUCUUUGAAAGUACAAGUGUGUACAUUUCAUUUACGUGUUCAACCUAUAUAAAUUACCAGUUAUUACCAGAAAUGAAAACGCCGUAACGGAUAAUAAAAACAUGCGGAUAUCAGCGAAAAGUUAUGAGGAGGAACUUAAAAUCGAAAUAAAAAUUUGCUGCUUCCUCUGGAAAUCCAAAUUCUGAUGACCGUUCAAGGAGUGUCGUUCAAGAAAACAAUGGAAUUUUGUCCCAUCUAGUGGUUUCUAUAAGAGAAGAGUUGCCAGAGCCAAAUUUGGUUGCGCCUUUGUUAGACGGGAUGGAAUAUGAUUCAGGAUAUGAAUCGUAGACACACAUAGAGACACAGGUGCGGAUUUGUAGAAAAAUGCUCACUGGACCAAUAAAAGACGCCGAUAAGCUUUGACAUGUAUCGUCAUCUUAUUUAUAUCAGAAAGCAAGAUUUGUAUAACUUAAAGUUGAUAUUCAAUUGUCGAAUGUUUAACCAUAGAACAUUUUAUGUAAGAAUGUUUCUGUUUCUCAUAUUAUGUUUUUAAAUGCAUUUCAAAGGUAGGAAAUUAUUCAAAGUUUAACUUUUCACAGACAUAUGAUAUUAUUUUAUAAAAAUGAUUAUCAGGUAGUUUUAUUCCUCCAAUCGUCUGAACAUAGACACGUUGUAUCGCGUGUAAAUUGGGAAACCACACACCAAAAACUAAACAUCAGAUGUGCUGAUAGAUUAUUUUAUUCGCGGAUGUACCGUUCCUUUUUGCAGAGAUUCAUGUGAAUUUAACACAGUGCCUUUAACAUUGUCAUGAGUGCUUACAAUGUUUGUUUUUGUUCAAUAAAAUGCACAUUUGUGCGUUGUUAAAUGAAAACAAUUUAGAAACAUUCACAAUAUUUUAAUAUUAAUAGUUGUUAUACUUUGGGAUUAAAUAUAUAUAUGACUUUUACAUUUUACCACGUUGUGUUCAACGCAUUGUGUUCAAUUGUAUUAUCAUGUAUUUUGUCUUAACCAUUUAUUUUUGAAAUUACGUUUUAUUCGUAUUGUAUUAUGUCCCAUCAAAUAUACGUCAAUUCGAAACAUUCGGACUAUUACAAUGUGUUGUUUACAAUUUGAAUUGUUAAUUGCUCAUGUUCUUAUCACAUGUUAUUACCAAUCAAAGGAAAAUUGGUUUUAUGUUAAGGUCAGAAUCCCAGGGUACUUAUGUUUUGCUAGUACGCCAUGGGAAUAAAAAUAUAUUGUACAUUACAAAUAUGCAAUUUCUGUUUUAUUUCGUUUUCAUUUGGUUAAAACAAAUUAUACAUGUUUAGUUCUGAUUUAUGCUCUUCUAUUUGUGCAUGGUUUUACAUGAUAAAGAAUUAAAACAAUUUUUCGUGUGAAUACAUUGUUUGGUGACGUUAAAAUAGCUGAAAACAUUUAAUAUGCAUAUUAUCUAUUGUAAUUUGAAGAAACUAAAUAUGCCCAUUUGAUGCAAAUAUAAAUGCAAUGACAA